rnacentral:rRNA from 1 species
CUUUAAUCGACCCGUCUUGAAACACGGACCAAGGAGUCUAACAUGCCUGCGAGUGUUUGGGUGGAAAACCCAUACGCAAAAUGAAAGUGAAAGUUGAGAUCCCUUCCUUUGAGGGGGGAGCAUUGACGCCCGGACCAGACCUUUUGCGAAGGAUCCGCGGUAGAGCAUGUAUGUUGGGACCCGAAAGAUGGUGAACUAUGCCUGAAUAGGGUGAAGCCAGAGGAAACUCUGGUGGAGGCUCGUAGCGAUUCUGACGUGCAA